rnacentral:snRNA from 1 species
AUCCACCCCUAGUCUUUAAGCUAAGAUCAAGUGUAGUAUCUAUUCUUAUUGGUUUAAUAUCUGAUAUACGAGCCAUGCACUUACUUCGAUAUUAAAUUUAUUUUUUGGUGGGGAAGGGCUUGCCACUGGAGUCUUCGAGUGUCGUUUUAAGUGUUGCCCUAAGCGUGGCGCAUCCCAA